GUGAAGCGGCAAAAGCUCAAUUUGAAAUCGCUUCGGCGAAUUGUAAUUAAAGUUGUCAGGCUUUGGCGGAAGUUUUUUGGAACAAAACGUCAUAGAGGGUGAUAACCCCGUAGCCUUUGCCUAUUGUACAACUUUAGAGCGAGUCGAGUUGUUUGGGAAUGCAGCUCUAAUAGGUGGUAAACUCCAUCUAAGGCUAAAUAUUGCUGGGAGACCGAUAGCGAACAAGUACAGUGAUGGAAAGAUGAAAAGCACUUUGAAAAGAGAGUGAAAUAGCGUGUGAAAUUGUUGGAGGGGAAGGUGAUGGUAGGAAUAAGAGGGGGUAGU
rnacentral:sRNA from 1 species